GGAGGAAGGGCCGCCGAGGUGAGCGGGCGCCCUGAGCCGGCGUCUCUGCAGCCACCCUCGCCAUGUCGGCGCGCAACCUGGGCACCGAGCUGGACCUUAGCUGGAUCUCCAAAAUACAAGUGAACCAGCCGGCAGUUCUGAGACGUGCACAGCAAAUCCAGGCUCGUAGGACCGUGAAGAAGGAGUGGCAAGCUGCUUGGCUCCUGAAAGCUGUUACCUUUAUAGAUCUUACUACACUUUCGGGUGAUGACACGUCUUCCAAUGUUCAAAGGCUCUGUUAUAAAGCCAAGUAUCCAAUCCGGGAAGACCUCUUAAAAGCUUUAAAUAUGCACGAUAAAGGCAUCACCACGGCUGCUGUUUGUGUUUAUCCUGCACGGGUCUGCGAUGCAGUGAAAGCACUAAAGGCUGCAGGCUGUAACAUCCCAGUGGCAUCAGUGGCCACUGGCUUUCCAGCUGGACAGACUCAUUUAAAAACACGAUUAGAAGAGAUCAGACUGGCUGUGGAAGAUGGAGCUACAGAAAUCGACGUGGUAAUUAACAGGACCUUGGUGUUGACCGGCCAGUGGGAAGCCCUGUAUGAUGAGAUUCGUCAGUUUCGCAAGGCCUGUGGGGAGGCUCAUCUCAAAACCAUCUUAGCAACAGGAGAACUUGGAUCUCUGACUAAUGUCUACAAAGCCAGUAUGAUAGCAAUGAUGGCAGGAUCAGAUUUUAUUAAGACCUCUACUGGAAAAGAAACAGUAAAUGCCACUUUCCCGGUAGCUAUAGUAAUGCUACGGGCCAUUAGAGAUUUCUUCUGGAGAACUGGAAACAAGGUAGGCUUCAAGCCAGCAGGAGGCAUCCGCAGUGCAAAGGAUUCCCUUGCGUGGCUCUCUCUCAUAAAGGAGGAGCUGGGAGAUGAUUGGCUGAAGCCAGAACUCUUUCGAAUAGGGGCCAGCACUCUGCUUUUGGACAUUGAGAGACAGAUUUACCAUCAAGUGACUGGAAGAUAUGCGGCUUACCAUGAUCUUCCAAUGCCUUAAAUCAGCAAGCGACCAAUAUCAGAAAGUUCUUUACAACAGUGUUUAAAAAUUACUUUGCUACAACAUUGCUAAAAUUAUUUAAUUAAGAAAUGGGGGAAUGGGUAAUAACUGACCUUUUUUCCUCUUCAAGUGUCUGUUGAAUUUAAUUCAAAGAAUGAAAGAAAAAACUAAUCCACAUAUGUGUUCAUUUCAGGCACACCUGAGAUGCUCUUAAUUAUCAGAUGAUCUGCGCUGUUAAUUUAAUGAAGGUUUUUCUUAAAAUGCCAAGUAAAAUGUUACUGAUAGCUUUGACAACAUUAAAUUCCAAGGAAAAAAAUGUUAAAUUGCCAAGAAACGUGCUCUAGUAACAGAAAAUGUGUUGUCCCUGAAGUUCUCCUGGACUCAGGCAACUCAGAGGAGCUGGCUUAGCACUAAUAUCCUGCCCUGAAAAUUCUUUAAGUUUUCCAACAGAUAUGCUCUUUCAGAAAUUAUUUUGUUAAUAAAAUUUCUGUCCUUGUUAUAUGAAAUGCUGUGUAUCAUUGCAUGUCUUUAAUUUUUUUUAUUUUAUUAUUUUUUUAAAAUUUUAUUUAUACAAGAGCAGGGGCACAGGCCAGUUGCGCGGGAGAGUGGGAGAACUCACCAGAGACAGAGCAGGGAACAGAACAGGCAGACUGACAAAAUACACUGCUGAGAGGAGCAGCGGGCGAGACAGGAGAGGUGUGCUCGCCAUGUGAGUUGCUCCAAGGCCGGCAGGUAUCGAACCAGCACUGCAGAGUCUGCGGACAGCUUCACAGCUCUGCGCCCAACCGCCUGCGCCACCAGGGAGGCCCUAAAUGUGUUCAAUUUUUAAAAAUCCCAGUCUCUCUGGUGACGCAAGGGGUUAAGCACCGCACUAUGAAGCAAUCUGCAGCCUCUGUAGCACGAGUUCGUUCCCCGGCCGGCCAGAGAGAAACACACAUGGAGCAGCAGACCUCUCCUGUCUCACCCACUGCUCCCCUCAGCAGUGUAUUUCAAUCAGUCUGCCUGUUCUGUUCCCCACUCUGUGUCUGGUGAAUCUUCUCACCCACCACAUCUCUGGCCUGUACCCCAGCUCUUGUAUGCAUAAAUAAAUAAAUCUUU